rnacentral:rRNA from 1 species
UACGAAGGGAGCUAGCGUUGUUCGGAAUCACUGGGCGUAAAGCGCACGUAGGCGGACGUGUCAGUCAGGGGUGAAAUCCCGGAGCUCAACUUCGGAACUGCCUUUGAUACAGUACGUCUUGAGUCCGGAAGAGGUGGGUGGAAUUCCUAGUGUAGAGGUGAAAUUCGUAGAUAUUAGGAAGAACACCGGUGGCGAAGGCGGCCCACUGGUCCGGUACUGACGCUGAGGUGCGAAAGCGUGGGGAGCAAACAGG